GACGAACCGUGCGAACGUUGUUCGGAAUCACUGGGCUUAAAGGGCGCGUAGGCGGGCUGACAAGUCUGGGGUGAAAUGCCGCGGCUCAACCGUGGAACUGCCUCAGAUACUGUCGGCCUCGAGGAAGGUAGGGGCAUGCGGAUCUGUAGGUGGAGCGGUGAAAUGCGUUGAUAUCUACAGGAACUCCGGUGGCGAAAGCGGCGUGCUGGACCUUUUCUGACGCUGAGGCGCGAAAGCUAGGGGAGCAAACGGG
rnacentral:rRNA from 1 species